rnacentral:ncRNA from 1 species
AUUUAAUUUAAUUAAUUUUUACAUGCAAGGAUUUAGUUAUGUAAGUUUUAAAUAAACUUUUUAUUGAGCAGUAAAUAAAUUUAGAUUUUUAUGAUAGUAAGAUCUAGGUAUAAUUUUUAGUGCUAACAGAGUUUGUGCCAGCAGUUGCGGUUACACAAAUAGCAUAAUUAAAUUUGGUCAGUUUUAGUUAUAUAAUUUAAUAUUAAAAUAAAAUAAAAUUUAUUGGGUGAAAUUUUAAAUUUUUUUUAUUUUUUAGGUUAAAAACUAGUAAAUUAAUAAAUAGACUAGGAUUAGAUACCCUAUUAUAGUAGUGUAAAUUUUUAGGCUUAAUUAGUAUAAGAUAUGUUCAGGAAAAUUAAAAAAUUUGGCGGUAUUUUAGUCUGUUCAGAGGAACCUGUCCUGUAAUUGAUAAUCCACGAGUAAAGAAAUUUAUUUUUUGUUUUCAUAUCGUUGUAAUAAAAUAUUUUUAAAAAAUUAAAUAUUUAAGAUUUAGAUUUUAAAAUAUAUCAGAUCAAGGUGUAGCUAGUAAAUAAAAAGAGAUGGGUUACUUUUUAAUUAAUAGAAAUUUAUUUUUUUAAAAAAUUUUGUUCUAGGAUUUGAUAGUAAAUUUAAUUAUAUAAUUAAUUUGAUUUUAGCUCUAGAAUAUGUACAUAUUGCCCGUCGCUUUUACUUUAAAGUAAAAUAAGUCGUAACAAAGUAGGCCCACUGGAAAGUGGGCCUA